UGGGGAAUUUUGGACAAUGGGGGCAACCCUGAUCCAGCAAUGCCGCGUGUGUGAAGAAGGCCUUCGGGUUGUAAAGCACUUUUGUCCGGGAAGAAAUCCCCUGCCCUAAUACGGCGGGGGAUGACGGUACCGGAAGAAUAAGCACCGGCUAACUACGUGCCAGCAGCCGCGGUAAUACGUAGGGUGCGAGCGUUAAUCGGAAUUACUGGGCGUAAAGCGUGCGCAGGCGGUGAUGUAAGACCGAUGUGAAAUCCCGGGCUCAACCUGGGAACUGCAUUGGUGACUGCAUUGCUCGAGUAUGGCANAGGGGGGUGGAAUUCCACGUGUAGCAGUGAAAUGCGUAGAGAUGUGGAGGAACACCGAUGGCGAAGGCAGCCCCCGUGGGCCAAUACUGACGCUCAUGCACGAAAGCGUGGGGAGCAAACAGGAUUAGAUACCCUGGUAGUCCACGCCCUAAACGAUGUCAACUGGUUGUCGGGCCUUCAUUGGCUUGGUAACGUAGCUAACGCGUGAAGUUGACCGCCU
rnacentral:rRNA from 1 species